rnacentral:rRNA from 1 species
CGGGACACGUGGUAUCCUGUCUGAAUAUGGGGGGACCAUCCUCCAAGGCUAAAUACUCCUGACUGACCGAUAGUGAACCAGUACCGUGAGGGAAAGGCGAAAAGAACCCCGGCGAGGGGAGUGAAAAAGAACCUGAAACCGUGUACGUACAAGCAGUGGGAGCCUCUUAAUGGGGUGACUGCGUACCUUUUGUAUAAUGGGUCAGCGACUUAUAUUCUGUAGCAAGGUUAACCGAAUAGGGGAGCCGAAGGGAAACCGAGUCUUAACUGGGCGUUAAGUUGCAGGGUAUAGACCCGAAACCCGGUGAUCUAGCCAUGGGCAGGUUGAAGGUUGGGUAACACUAACUGGAGGACCGAACCGACUAAUGUUGAAAAAUUAGCGGAUGACUUGUGGCUGGGGGUGAAAGGCCAAUCAAACCGGGAGAUAGCUGGUUCUCCCCGAAAGCUAUUUAGGUAGCGCCUCGUGAAUUCAUCUCCGGGGGUAGAGCACUGUUUCGGCAAGGGGGUCAUCCCGACUUACCAACCCGAUGCAAACUGCGAAUACCGGAGAAUGUUAUCACGGGAGACACACGGCGGGUGCUAACGUCCGUCGUGAAGAGGGAAACAACCCAGACCGCCAGCUAAGGUCCCAAAGUCAUGGUUAAGUGGGAAACGAUGUGGGAAGGCCCAGACAGCCAGGAUGUUGGCUUAGAAGCAGCCAUCAUUUAAAGAAAGCGUAAUAGCUCACUGGUCGAGUCGGCCUGCGCGGAAGAUGUAACGGGGCUAAACCAUGCACCGAAGCUGCGGCAGCGACACUAUGUGUUGUUGGGUAGGGGAGCGUUCUGUAAGCCUGUGAAGGUGGCCUGUGAGGGUUGCUGGAGGUAUCAGAAGUGCGAAUGCUGACAUAAGUAACGAUAAAGCGGGUGAAAAGCCCGCUCGCCGGAAGACCAAGGGUUCCUGUCCAACGUUAAUCGGGGCAGGGUGAGUCGACCCCUAAGGCGAGGCCGAAAGGCGUAGUCGAUGGGAAACAGGUUAAUAUUCCUGUACUUGGUGUUACUGCGAAGGGGGGACGGAGAAGGCUAUG